rnacentral:lncRNA from 1 species
UGUGGCAUCUUUCUGAACUCCUCCGACCGUCCGAGCUUCCAUAAUACCAUCCGGACUUCUCCAAUCAUGAGCUUCUCCAUUCAUCUAUCGGACUGCUCCAAAUGCUCUCUGAACUUCACUUUCAGCUGAUUCUCUACAGUGGUCGACUAUUCUCCAAAUCUCUUCCAGACUUCUCCCAGCCACGAUCGACUUUACUCCGAACUUCCUCCGGACUUCGUCAAUGACCGAGCUUCUUCAGCAGCAGCACUUCUACAGUAACUAGACUCC